GGUAUUUUGACCGUGCAAAGGUAGCAUAAUCAUUAGUUUUUUAAUUGAAAGCUGGAAUGAAAGGUUGGAUGAGAAAUAAGCUGUCUCUAUUUAAUUUUAUUAGAAUUUUAUUUUUAAGUAAAAAAGCUUAAAUUUUGAUAGAAGACGAGAAGACCCUAUAGAGUUUUAUUUAUUUUUUAAAUAAAAUUAAUAGUAUUAAUUAUUUUUAUUUAAUAAAUAAAUUUAAUUGGGGUGAUUGAAAAAUUUAAUAAACUUUUUUUGUAUAUAUACAUUGAUAUAUGGUUAAUUGAUCCUUAAUUUAAGAUUAAAAGAUAAAAUUACCUUAGGGAUAACAGCGUAAUUUUUUUUGAGAGUUCAAAUCGAAAAAAAAGAUUGCGACCUCGAUGUUGGAUUAAAAUAAAAUUUUGGUGUAGAAGCUAAAA
rnacentral:rRNA from 2 species